rnacentral:lncRNA from 1 species
GUAAUAAAUCCAGAAAACAUACCUCAAUCAAAAAAGUCUAAUUUUUGUUCCCCAAGUAACACCUCAUAUUUUGUAAUAUUUGAAGGAACUUCUGUGAAAGCUAAGGAUAAGCACACUAUUGAAUACUGAUUACUCGCCCCUCGUAAGUCGUAACAUUAUAUUCAGAUAUUCCAAUAAACUAAGUGCAUGUAUGGCUUAGCUGAAAUACUA